rnacentral:lncRNA from 1 species
AUAGGGUCCCAAACCACUUUGGCCACAACACCCCCAGACUGGUCCGAAGCCUCGUGAGUUCGCCCUGGUCGUUGCACUCCAGCCUGUCGCUGUGCAGACCUGGCUUAGAGGACCCCUAAGGCUGAGGGGUCACUUCCAGAACUGAGUCCGGUCCGCAGGUUCUGCUACGCUCCAGCCAGCCCCUAACUGGUCCCCAGAAGCGGCGCUGCUACAGGGACCAGGAGCUGCUGCGAACUGCGCUGGCGGGGGCUCGUCCUUGGGCGCGGGGCUUCAUCAUGGACACGCUCUCGGCCCAGGCCGCGAAACAAGCCCGCGUGACUGGCGGAGGCACAGAGACCAAGGCCGCUUAACCUGGCUGGUUGCACUGGUCCCUGGAGAGAGGGCGUCCCCUGCAGGAGAGCUUCAUGCGCCUGGUGGAGGCCUGUGGGGACUCGGAGCAAAGCAUGGACAACUGGCUGAGUCGGCUGGACGGCUGCCGCUGACUGUAACAUGUAAAGCAGGCACUGAGCACCACCUGCCUGGCAGUCCAGGGCAUGGAGAGGCACAGACAGCACCCUGCUUGUGACUUCACUGGCCCAACUCAUCCUGGACCCCUUGAGCAAGACCAUGGCUGGAUUCCAGGAACUGGUGGAGUGGAAGUGGAUCCAGGAAAAUGCCGUGUGAAGGGAGGACUCAGAUGCACUCCCUGUGGUCUGGGCUCAACCAGCCAAAAGAGCAACAAAGACUCCAGAACCCACUCUACCUCCUCAAUCCCUUGGCCAUCUGUGGAGCCCCAGAGCCUGCGGCUGUGGCAAGGUGAGCUCCACACCUUCUCCCCUGGGUAUUACCCCUCUGCUCAGCGUCCUGACCUGUCUUCCUCCUCCUCAGGCCUGUUUCUGCGCUGGACCUGCUCACCUGAGCCUGCAGAAGCUGCAUGGGGGAAGAGUGUGGCAAAUAGUGACAGGAAGGGAGAAGACAGAAGCCUCUCAGCCAACUGCUUCAGCCGAGCCCCUAUUCUAAGCACUGGCUCCUUGGAUAGCAGCUGAGAUGUUCCUGAAACCUCUGCAGGCCCCUUAGGACCUUUACACCUUGGAUGAGGGUGCCUGCAACCCAGGUUAGCCAAAAGUACUGAGGGUCUUAAGUUUGAAGUGUCCAAAGUAUAGGGAGGUCUCAAUAAUAAAAGUCUCCAUGAUCAGCAUCA